GACGAACGCUGGCGGCGUGCCUAAUACAUGCAAGUCGAGCGAAUUUUUGGGAGCUUGCUCCUAAAAGUUAGCGGCGGACGGGUGAGUAACACGUGGGCAACCUGCCUAUAAGACAGGGAUAACUUCGGGAAACCGGAGCUAAUACCGGAUGAUUCUUUUCUACACAUGUAGGAAAGCUAAAAGAUGGUUUACGCUAUCACUUAUAGAUGGGCCCGCGGCGCAUUAGCUAGUUGGUGAGGUAACGGCUCACCAAGGCCACGAUGCGUAGCCGACCUGAGAGGGUGAUCGGCCACACUGGGACUGAGACACGGCCCAGACACCUACGGGUGGCAG
rnacentral:rRNA from 1 species